ensembl:lncRNA
GUUGAACGCGUCUGAAAUGCACCUUCCACUGUGAAAGCAUGUAAAAAGUAAGCAGGACUGUUGUAUUUAAGGGGUUUGGAGCUGGCGACGUCAAAGGAAAGUUCAAAGGUUCAAAGGCAAGCCCAUGACGUCACCGGAAAUUACUGUUCCAUCGGCCCCGCCCCCAGCGACUGCUGCUCCGGAUUUGUUGUUGACAUCGCCAAAAAUGUUCCAAGCGACAGAAAAGCGGAUUAUUUGAAAGUUUUUCAGUUCAACUAAUUAAUUAACUUUACCUGCGGGGCGCGCGACAACGUACUCAGGCAGCAGCUUUAACAUUGCUGUAUGUUGGUGACCACAAUGCAGGAGCAGAGUGAACCAGGACUGCAAACCUGCUCCAUCUUCUCGUCUCUGGAGAUUUCCAUUUACAAAGCACCAACAACUCAAAGUACUCAGGCAGCAGCUUUAACAUUGCUGUAUGUUGGUGACCACAAUGCAGGAGCAGAGUGAACCAGGACUGCAAACCUGCUCCAUCUUCUCGUCUCUGGAGAUUUCCAUUUACAAAAUGUCUGUGAAGGUUCUCAGUCAUCCAGGUCAUCGUAGUCAAAGGAGUUUGCAAAGAAAGGCGUCUGGACUUCUUUAAGUUGCUUGAAGACGUUUCACCUCUCAUCCGAGAAGCUUCUCCUCAGUGACAACAACACCUACGAAGCUUUAAAACGAGACCCCACAAGCAGCUACAAAAAGAAAGUUAUAGCUUGCCUUCAAGACCUUGAAAAGGACAAAAUCAUUGACCGCCUCACAUAUCACCGCCUUUAUCCAGGGGAUGCCAUACCCUGCAUUUAUGGACUUCCUAAGAUCCACAAGGAAGGGGUCCCACUCAGACCCAUAGUCAGUAGCAUAAACUCAGCCACUUAUAACAUUGCAAAACACCUUGCUACCAUCCUUGCACCUCUCGUGGGGAACACCCACACCCACAUCAAGAACUCCACUGACUUCACCGACAAGGUCCAGAAACUUACCCUGGAUCCAGAUGAAACCAUGGUGUCCUUUGAUGUAGUCUCUCUCUUCACUUGCAUACCCACCACGGAAGCAGUGGAGACUGUCAGAAAACGACUACAAGAAGACAGCUCCUUGGAAGACAGGACCAACUUCACACCCGAUCAGAUCUGCACACUGUUAGACCUCUGCCUUACCACAACAUACUUCAAAUACAACGAAGGCUUCUACAGACAAAAACAUGGCUGUGCCAUGGGCUCCCCUGUGUCACCUAUUGUAGCCAACCUUUACAUGGAGGAAGUUGAAAGAAAGGCUCUUGGCUCUUUCAAAGGAGGAGCACCCAGCCACUGGUACAGAUAUGUAGAUGACACCUGGGUCAAAAUCAAGACACAAGAAGUGGAAUCCUUCACUGCGCACUUUAACGCCAUGGAUAAAAACAUCAAGUUCACCAGGGAAGACACAAAGGAUAACUGUUUGCCUUUCCUGGACUGCGCUGUGCACAUUGAAGAGAAUGGCAACCUCAACAUUGAAGUUUACCGGAAGCCCACACACACGGACCAGUACCUCCUCUUUGACUCCCAUCACCCUCUGGAACACAAACUUGGAGUAAUUAGGACCCUACACCACCGGGCAGAACUUGUUCCCUCUAAGCCUGAAGAGAAAAAGAAGGAACACACACAUGUAAAGGAAGCACUGAAAACAUGUGGUUAUCCUAACUGGGCGUUCAUAAAGUCAGCAAAGAGGCACAGAAAAGAAGAUCAGACACCAGCGAGGGAGGAUAAGAAAGACAGACGCAACAACAUUGUCAUCCCCUAUGUAGCCGGUGUAUCAGAGAAACUCAGGAGAGUUUUCUCCAAGCAUGACAUCCCAGUGUACUUCAGACCAAGCAACACACUCAGACACAAACUGGUUCACCCGAAAGACAAAACUCCAAAACACAGACUGAACAACGUGGUGUAUGCGGUACAGUGCAGAGAGGAAUGCCCGGACGUCUACAUUGGAGAGACCAAACAGCCACUUCACAAGCGUAUGGCACAACAUAGAAGAGCCACCUCCACAGGACAAGACUCAGCAGUCCAUCUGCAUCUUAAGGAUAAAGGUCACUCUUUCGAGGAUGCCAAUGUUCACAUUUUGGACAGGGAGGACAGAUGGUUUGAAAGAAGAGUGAAAGAGGCCAUCUAUGUCCACUGUGAGCGACCAUCUUUGAACAGAGGCGGUGGUUUACGACACCAACUCUCUGCCAUCUAUAAUCCAGUUUUGAGUUCCCUCCCCAGACGCCUUAACGCCCACUCACAUCCUGGGCCAUCUGACCUCAGGAAUUCACAUGACAAGGUGGGGCCAGGUUUCACAAUGGGCUCACCCGAAACCCUGGCUGAUUAGGUCCCACACCCGCUUUCACACCUUGGCGCAUGUGAUUAGAGGAUCACCAGGGGGUCCUUUGUCCCUCCUUGGGGGGAUACUCCCACUGGGUUUAAAUCUGGGACUCUCGGCCAUUUGACCUUAGAACUGAAGAAGCUUCUCGGAUGAGAGGUGAAACGUCUUCAAGCAACUUAAAGAAGUCCAGACGCCUUUCUUUGCAAACUCCUUUGACUUCCAUUUACAAAGCACCAACAACUCAAAGGUAAAUAUUAUAUUGGAAAAUCUGUUUAUAUAUGUUGUUUAUAUAGUAUGUAUAGUAUAUAAGGCUUUGUUCUUUUUUUUAAUAAGCAGCUCAUAUGUCAGCAGAACUGUAGAACUGAAAGAAUGUAAGAGUAGAACUCUGUGAGGACUAAGAAGGAUCAGCUUUAUUUCAGAUUUGAGAGAUAAACUUUAUAUUUCAGUUUGUGAUGAUUCUGUUCUCUUUGUGAUUACAGGAGCUGCCCUCAGAUUCAGACCUCAGCACCACCCAGUGAAAGCAGACAGAUCAUUCAACAUGUUCACGUUAACUCCAAAAUUAACUGAUGAAAGCUGCAGCUGUUUUAUUGAUAAAGUCAAAAGGAUUAAUCACCCCUGUCACUGUCACUAUAUAUCAGCAGUCUGGUGUUUCAGAAAGCUGCUAUCUGAGACCUGUAGAGGUUCUGUUUUAAACACUGAAUGCACUCAGCCACAUGAAGAGCACAUGAGAUUUUCCCUGACACACUUAAAUAAAACCUGAUGAAGGUUAACUAAAAACUGGUGAUCUGGAAUUCUUUCAGUUUUUUUUUUCCUUC